AACACAUGCAAGUCGAGGGGCAGCGGGAUUGAAGCUUGCUUCAAUUGCCGGCGACCGGCGCACGGGUGAGUAACGCGUAUCCAACCUGCCCACCACUUGGGAAUAACCUUGCGAAAGUAAGACUAAUACCCAAUGAUAUCUCUAGAAGACAUCUGAAGGAGAUUAAAGAUUUAUCGGUGAUGGAUGGGGAUGCGUCUGAUUAGCUUGUUGGCGGGGUAACGGCCCACCAAGGCGACGAUCAGUAGGGGUUCUGAGAGGAAGGUCCCCCACAUUGGAACUGAGACACGGUCCAAACUCCUACGGGAGGCAGCAGUGAGGAAUAUUGGUCAAUGGGCGAGAGCCUGAACCAGCCAAGUAGCGUGCAGGAUGACGGCCCUAUGGGUUGUAAACUGCUUUUAUAAGGGAAUAAAGUGAGUCUCGUGAGACUUUUUGCAUGUACCUUAUGAAUAAGGACCGGCUAAUUCCGUGCCAGCAGCCGCGGUAAUACGGAAGGUCCGGGCGUUAUCCGGAUUUAUUGGGUUUAAAGGGAGCGUAGGCCGGAGAUUAAGCGUGUUGUGAAAUGUAGAUGCUCAAC
rnacentral:rRNA from 1 species